rnacentral:rRNA from 1 species
GACAGAGGGUGCAAACGUUGUUCGGAAUUACUGGGCGUAAAGCGCGUGUAGGCGGCCCUGCAAGUCGGAUGUGAAAUCCCACGGCUCAACCGUGGAAGUGCAUUCGAAACUGCAGGGCUAGAGUCCUGGAGAGGAAGGUGGAAUGCUUGGUGUAGAGGUGAAAUUCGUAGAUAUCAAGCGGAACACCGGUGGCGAAGGCGGCCUUCUGGACAGUGACUGGACGCUGA